UCCAAUAACAAAAUUUUACUUUUACAUCCAUCAAAACCUUUUUUAGGAACAAUCUCAACAUGAUAAAAAAUUUUGUUUUGAUGAUACGUUUAAAAUUUGUAUUAAAAAGUCUAGUUUAAUUGUGAUUAAAACUUGCAGCAAAACUAUUGCAGCUCUUACGCGAGCUACGCUGCGUUCAUAAAGUCUAUGUGAUACCCCUGUGAUUCUCUGAGUUCCCCCUGAGGGUCUGUACAGAACGUAUUGUGAAGAACUAGUUUGAGAAGCUGUUUACCGUCCGACUACGCAUGCGCAAGUUCCCUGCGUAGGAGCGAGCAGUUUCUACUUCAGUAUACAGUUGUAUUUCAUGUAAUGUUCGUCUAUUAUUAAACCGUGUGAAUAUUCUAGGACCACUGCGAUUGAAGGCUUAGAGAAAUAAACGUUCGGAACCUUAUUAUCAUCCUUGUGUUAUGGAGAGCGUUGAGAGAAGGAAGCCUUACAAUCCUAUCCAGAGAAAUACCACUCGGUA